UACGAAGGGGGCUAGCGUUGUUCGGAAUCACUGGGCGUAAAGAGCGCGCAGGCGGUCGUUCAAGUCGCGUGUGAAAGCCCCCGGCUCAACUGGGGAGGGUCACGCGAUACUGAUCGACUCGAAGGCAGGAGAGGGUAGUGGAAUUCCCGGUGUAGUGGUGAAAUGCGUAGGAUAAUCGGGAGGAACACCAAUAGCGAAGGG
rnacentral:rRNA from 1 species